UACGUAGGGUGCAAGCGUUAAUCGGAAUUACUGGGCGUAAAGCGUGCGCAGGCGGUUGUGCAAGACAGAUGUGAACUCCCCGGGCUUAACCUGGGAACUGCAUUUGUGACUGCACAGCUGGAGUGCGGCAGAGGGGGAUGGAAUUCCGCGUGUAGCAGUGAAAUGCGUAGAUAUGCGGAGGAACACCGAUGGCGAAGGCAAUCCCCUGGGCCUGCACUGACGCUCAUGCACGAAAGCGUGGGGAGCAAACAGG
rnacentral:rRNA from 1 species